rnacentral:lncRNA from 1 species
AUUGGCCGGUGGUCAUACCCAGAAAUCGGAGGUGCUGGCGCACCCCGACCAGCCUGUUAGCCAUAUUGUUUGGGAGUUAGGAUCCUUUAAAGGUUCAAGUCCAGACAUGAGCAGCAAUUUGGAUGUUGCCAUGUUCUGAACUUUAACUCAAACACAUAGAAGGGAAUAGGGGUAUAUGGAUUCACAGCAAAAACAUAUGGAAAGAGAAUAACAUACAUAUUUAACAUUGAGCAUAGACAGCAAAGUAGACAGGAUUGUAGAAGCUAUAAAAUAAACAAAUUGGGAUGAGGCUGAAUACGAAAUUAGAACAUACCAAUUUAGGGAAACAAGAGAAAGAAAAAAGUAGUCUUGUAAAGCCAAAUUGCAAGUAAAUAGUCAGGAUGUUAUGAUUAAAAAACUAUGAUACUUGAAUGGCGUAAAAUAUUAAAUUGAAAAGCUGUAUAACCGAAAGUGUCUGAAAAGUGUCGAAUUCAAGGUGUGUGAAAGUAUUGAAUUGAAAGUUGUUUGAUCGUGUUGACUGUUUUUCAUUUAUUAAAGAAGGCCAUUUAUUAAUAAUGUAGAAAUCAAGUAGAAAUAGGUAAGAAAACAGUUUGGAAAUCAAUUUCACAAUGUUUUCCUUUAAUUAGGGGAUUCUGAUUUCAAACAUGUAAAAAUAAUUAAGGAAAGAGACCAAUCAAACACCUUUUAAAGCAGUACAAAAGGGCUAAAUACAUAAAGGUAUAAUGAAGGAAAAGUCUUGACAGUACACGAUUUGUGCAAAUAAGGAAAGGGAAUCUAUUAAACAGCCAGUAAAUUCCAAGGUUUGAAUUUUGUAUGGAUGAAUCCAGUCAGAAAAGGUGGAGAAAGGUUUUACUUAAGAAAAAAUCAGUAACAAUUAAUCAAACCUAAGGAAAAGGAUUCUGUAAUCAUAAGAUGGAAACCUUUUCGAAAGAAAGAAUUGGUCACACAUAUAAAAACAUACAGCCAUGCUCAAGCACGAAGAACUGUCAUACUAAUCAAUAGAAGAGUCUAGCAUAGAAAAAGUUUAGAGUCAUAAACAAAGAAGUCCAAGCUCAGUUUAUAGACUCAGAACGAGUCUGAGAGAGUCCAUGGUUCCCAAAAUAGAACCCUAGUCCAAACACAAGAUCAAAACUCGCCAAAACCCCAAAUCCUAGGGUUUUCAACUCGAAUGAGAUUCAGAGACGAGGAGACAAAUAAUUGAAACAGGCUCAGAGUUCUCUUUCAGAGACUUAUGAGAAAACAACAAAUACAAGGUCUGAUCUAGUCGGAUGAGUCAAAACCAGGCUCGAAAUGCUUAAGAUACGUCGGAGCUAGGCCGCAGAAGCCAUAGAAACUUGAAUCGGAGAAGAUCUGAAUGGACACCAUCAAGGUCAGACCUCGAAACUUCAAACACCAAGAGUUUAAGAGUGGAGGGAGGUGAGUAUAGGCGAUACAUGCCUGAGAGGCCAUGGAUUCUGGUGAGAUUGAGGUUGAAGAUGGUGAGAGAGGCUAGGGUUUCAAGAACCUUUAAGAGAGAUUGAGAGAGGAAAAGCAUUCAAGUGCGGCUGAUAGAACAAAAUGAGUUAGGGUUAGAGG